CUCUCCGUAAGACAGAAAAGAAAAAAAAACCUCCGUAGCUGAAUCAGAAGUAGUAGCAUCCUAACUGCCAACUACAGAUACUACUAAAGAUAACACUUUUCUUUGUCUUAUUAACAGAAUACAGCAGAGGAUCUCAACUCUGGCUCCAAGUUUAGCUCCAACCUUGAUCAGAUUGACCUGCAUUUACCUCUCUAGUAAUCCUGAAAACCUCUAUUCUCUUAUUCAGGUGUGUUUGAUCAUGUUUGGAGAGAUGAGAAACCCAGUAAUACAGUGUUUGUAUAGUGACUUAAGUCUAUAAUACACGUGACUAUUUAACAUUUCUAACAAUUCCAUUGAUCUCUUAAAGUUUUUUCCCCUCAUAAUCUGAAGAUAAUCUGGAAAUGUUAGCAGCAUUUAAUUUACUAAAACAAAAGUUAGAGAAAAUUUACAGUACUGGAGUAUUCGUUCUGCAUGUUUAAUAGAUCAAUAAAGUGAAACGGAGGUUAUUCUUCAAUCCACUUAACAGAAGAACUGGAGAACAACGGGGAACAAAACCCCUUCUUCAAAUUCUGUAUGAACAUAUCCCACAUGAAAAAAUACUAUAGUAAUUUAUAGUAAAUACAAAAAUGUUUUUGAACCAUAUAGUAAAGUGCUUGAAUUAAUUUGUUGUGGUAAUUCUGUAGUUGCUGUGGUAAUAAACUAUAGUAAUAAAAACAAAUGACAUUACCCAGUACUGUACUAAGUUUAUAUUAUACUUCAAUACACUACAGUUUACUGUAGUAAAAAUGAAAGUAUAUUACAGUAUUUAUUACAGUUGAUCAGUUCACUGUAGUUAAUACUACAAUAUGCUGUAGCACUCAUUAAAAAGUGUUGUGAAAACUAUAAUACAGUAAAAUACACUUUACCAUAGUAGUUCAAAAACACUACAGUAUUUACUAUAAGUUACUAUAGACAUUGAUUACUUCACUUCCAUUUGAUAUCUUUGGAUUUUCUGAGCAUUACAGUAGUAGUGCUGAAGUUAACAUCUCAGGAUCAACGUUGAUCCUGGAGGGCCUGUGUCCCUGCUGAGUUUAGCUUCAACCCUGAAAAAAAACACUAGGUGGAGGUACCACUAGGUGAUGGUAUACACUAGGUGAAGGCAGCACAAGGUGGAGGUAUACACUGGGUGGAGGCAACACUAGGUGGAAGUAUAAACUAGGUGGAGGUUACACUGAGUGGAGGUAACACCGAGUGGAGGUACCACUAGAUGGAGUUGUAUACACUAGGUGGAGGUAACAUUAUGUGGAGGUAACACUAGGUGGAGGUAACACUAGGUGGAGGUAACAUUAUGUGGAGGUAACACUAAGUGGAGGUAACACUAAGUGGAGGUAACACUAGGUGGAGGUAACAUUAUGUGGAGGUAACACUAGGUGGAGGUAACAUUAUGUGGAGGUAACACUAGGUGGAGGUAACAUUAUGUGGAGGUAACAAUAGGUGGAGGUAACAUUAUGUGGAGGUAACAUUAUGUGGAGGUAACACUAGGUGGAGGUAACACUAGGUGGAGGUAUACACUAGGUGGAGGUAAAACUAGGUGGAGGUAACAAUAGGUGGAGGUAACAAUAGGUGGAGGUAACAUUAUGUGGAGGUAACACUAGGUGGAGGUAACACUAGGUGGAUGUAACAUUAUGUGGAGGUAACAUUAUGUGGAGGUAACACUAGGUGGAGGUAACACUAGGUGGAGGUAUACACUAGGUGGAGGUAAAACUAGGUGGAGGUAACAAUAGGUGGAGGUAACAAUAGGUGGAGGUAACAUUAUGUGGAGGUAACACUAGGUGGAGGUAACACUAGGUGGAGGUAACACUAGGUGGAUGUAACAUUAUGUGGAGGUAACAUUAUGUGGAGGUAACACUAGGUGGAGGUAACACUAGGUGGAGGUAACACUAGGUGGAGGUAACAUUAUGUGGAGGUAACACUAGGUGGAGGUAAACACUAGGUGGAGGUAACAUUAUGUGGAGGUAAACACUAGGUGGAGGUAAACACUAGGUGGAGGUAACAUUAUGUGGAGGUAACACUAGGUGGAGGUAACACUAGGUGGAGGUAAACACUAGGUGGAGGUAAACACUAGGUGGAGGUAACAUUAUGUGGAGGUAACACUAGGUGGAGGUAAACACUAGGUGGAGGUAAACACUAGGUGGAGGUAACAUUAUGUGGAGGUAACACUAGGUGGAGGUAAACACUAGGUGGAGGUAACAUUAUGUGGAGGUAAACACUAGGUGGAGGUAAACACUAGGUGGAGGUAACAUUAUGUGGAGGUAACACUAGGUGGAGGUAAACACUAGGUGGAGGUAACAUUAUGUGGAGGUAAACACUAGGUGGAGGUAAACACUAGGUGGAGGUAACAUUAUGUGGAGGUAACACUAGGUGGAGGUAAACACUAGGUGGAGGUAACACUAGGUGGAGGUAAACACUAGGUGGAGGUAAACACUAGGUGGAGGUAAACACUAGGUGGAGGUAACACUAGGUGGAGGUAAACACUAGGUGGAGGUAAACACUAGGUGGAGGUAACAUUAUGUGGAGGUAACACUAGGUGGAGGUAAACACUAGGUGGAGGUAACAUUAUGUGGAGGUAACACUAGGUGGAGGUAACAAUAGGUGGAGGUGGUGUGCAAGAACAGAAGCUGUAGGACAAAGGAAAACAAAAACAGUUAACUCUUGCAGCAAGGCUUGCUAGAUUAGUCUUAUAGUAUACAUGCAAAAUUUCAACAAAAUCAAGGUAGUUGUGAUGCUGUUAUUGCACAAUGAAUAUUUACCAUGAAAACCGCAUGAAUGAACAGGUGAUCAGAAUUCAUUAUUGUUCAGACUGCAAGCUUAUGACACUUUAAAUAGGACUGCAUACCAGAACAGAAAGUACACUGGAUGCAGAGAAGGGAUUUAACUUUAAUGCGUGUGCAUACAAGGAAUUUGUUUCGUGACAGAAUCUCCGCAGUGCAACAGAAUGACAGAGACAGAACAAAAAACAAAUAAUAAAAGAAUAAAAUAAAUAAGAAAUACAAAUAAGUAGGUAAGAAAUGACAAUAUACAAAUUGACAAUUGUAUGGCAGGUAUAUUAUGAUGAGCAGUUAUGCAUGUACAGGUACAGUAUUGUUCAAAAUAAUAGCAGUACAAUGUGACUAACCAGAAUAA